GACGAACGCUGGCGGCGUGCCUAAUACAUGCAAGUCGAACGCAGUGGGGACGGGUGAGUAACACGUGGGUAACCUCCCAUCAGAGGGGAUAACACUUGGAAACAGGUGCUAAACCGAUACUGAUGGAUGGACCCGCGGUGCAUUAGCUAGUUGGUGAGGUAACGGCUCACCAAGGCCAGGAUGCAUAGCCGACCGGGGAUGGUGACCGGCCACACUGGGACUGAGAAACGGCCCAGACUCCUACGGGAGGCAGCAGUAGGGAAUCUUCGGCAAUGGACGAAAGUCUGACCGAGCAACGCCGCGUGCGUGAAGAAGGUUUUCGGAUCGUAAAACUCUGUUGUGAGAGAGGCGGUAUCUAACCAGAAUGCAACGGCUAACUACGUGCCAGCAGCCGCGGUAAUUC
rnacentral:rRNA from 1 species